UUUUGCAACGGUCAUUUCGUGCCGCUUCGAUCUCAUCACCUUCUUUCCCCUCCCACCCCUCUUUUUGUUCAUCGCUUUGGGGCUUGCAACUUUUUGACAUGUCAAAUGAGAGUGAAGCAAAAAUGUAAACAACAAGUGUUCGCGUGUGCGGUGGUUUUAAUAAACAUAAAAUCAACCACGGAAGUAUGAUUUAGUUGUGGUGGAAGAGAAAAAAAAUGCUUGGAGCAUGGAAUAAAACCGGAUGAAAUUUCUAGCCUUCACGCACGAUGCCGACGCUGAGGUAAGGUGUGCUUGUGUUUAAUUUCGAUGAUUGUUUCAUUUUAGGGUGUGAUUUUUGAGAUAUAACUGUUCCUGGCGGGGAUAGUCAAUAGUCGAUACCCUCUGCAGCUGUGAAGGGAUGCAGAAAAAGGGGCUCGCUACCACCCUUCCCACACUCGGACGCAUUUUCCGCGGAUUAGGCUAUAUGCACCAAAUCUAACGGUGAUCCGUAUUGUAAAGGAAUUGUCAUAGGCGGUGCCGGGGACUUGGUGAAAAUGGUACACAACGGCAUCGAGUACGGUGAUAUUCAACUGAUCUGCGCAGCGUGUCACCUGAUGCUGGCGCUGGGCAUGACACGGAAGGAAAUGGCACAGGAGUUCGACGUGUGGAACAAGGGCGUAUCAGAUUCGUUCCUGAUCGAGAUCCCGCACGAUUUUCUGAACGGCGACGUUGAGGGAUAGAUGCUUGAGCUCAUUCGUGACUUGGCCACAAGGAUACGGGCAAAUUGUCAGCGGUUGCCGCCCUGCGCCAUGCCGUUCCGGUGAUGCUAAUUGAUGGAGCGGUCUUUUCCCGCUGCUUAUCUGCUCUGAAAGAUGAGCAUGCUCAGGGCAGCAAUCAACCGGCCGGGCCCAGCACGAAAGGUAUCGUGUGCGCAGGGCUUCAUGUUGCAGCGCAAAGCGGAGAUGGAUCCCAAACAAAUGGACCCCAAACUACGAUUUUAUUGAAUUGAUGUGGCGCUGCGGUUGAAUCAUGUUCAUCAGCAAGAUUCGGAACACUUUUGUGCGCAAUCCACAUAUUACCACGCGUACUCCAUUCUAUUGCUCUGCAGCUGCUUUGCGACUGCCAGUGACUUGCUAAGCUCAUUAGGCUAGCUGAACGAAAAUAGAUAGUGUACAAAUAUUUGACUGAAAACAUGAUAGUUCAUCGCACUAUAGGAACACGCCAUCACGCAACUACCACGAAAACAAGCACUAAAAUAACCGAAUUGUUGAGCCUAAAGAACAUGAUCGUUCAGUGCACCACAAUGGGAGGGUUGUUUUUUGCUAGUGCUUUCUAUUUCAAGAUGUUCUCGAACGUAUACCACAUAAACAAUUACAUC